GACGUAGGGCGCGAGCGUUGUCCGGAUUUAUUGGGCGUAAAGCGCACGUAGGCGGUUCGUUAUGUCAGAUGUGAAAGCCCUUGGCUCAACUGAGGAAGUGCAUCUGAAACUGGCGAGCUAGAGUAUGUAAGAGGGUCGCGGAAUUCCCGGUGUAGAGGUGAAAUUCGUAGAUAUCGGGAGGAACACCGGUGGCGAAGGCGGCGACCUGGGACAAUACUGACGCUGAGGUGCGAAAGCGUGGGGAGCAAACAGG
rnacentral:rRNA from 1 species